rnacentral:rRNA from 1 species
GACGAACGCUGGCGGCGUGCUUAACACAUGCAAGUCGAACGAUGAAGCUAGAGCUUGCUCUGGUGAAUUAGUGGCGAACGGGUGAGUAACACGUGAGUAACCUGCCCCGAACUCUGGGAUAACUGCUGGAAACGGUAGCUAAUACUGGAUACGACCUACGAAGGCAUCUUCUGUAGGUGGAAAGAAUUUCGGUUCGGGAUGGACUCGCGGCCUAUCAGCUUGUUGGUGAGGUAAUGGCUCACCAAGGCGACGACGGGUAGCCGGCCUGAGAGGGUGAACGGCCACAGUGGGACUGAGACACGGACCAGACUCCUACGGGAGGGAGCAGUGGGGAGUAGUGCGCAAUGGGCGCAAGCCUGAUGCAGCAACGCCGCGUGAGGGAUGACGGCCUUCGGGUUGUAAACCUCUUUUAGUAGGGAAGAAGCGAAAGUGACGGUACCUGCAGAAAAAGCACCGGCUAACUACGUGCCAGCAGCCGCAGUAA